UUGAUCCUGGCUCAGGACGAACGCUGGCGGCGUGCCUAAUACAUGCAAGUCGAGCGAGCCGAACUAAUUGAUUACCUUCGGGUAUGAAGUUAGGGAAGCGAGCGGCGGAUGGGUGAGUAACACGUGGGUAACCUACCCUAUAGUCUGGGAUACCACUUGGAAACAGGUGCUAAUACCGGAUAAAAGGAGAGAUCACAUGAUUUCUUUUUGAAAGGCGGCGUAAGCUGUCGCUAAAGGAUGGACCCGCGGUGCAUUAGCUAGUUGGUAAGGUAACGGCUUACCAAGGCAACGAUGCAUAGCCGAGUUGAGAGACUGAUCGGCCACAUUGGGACUGAGACACGGCCCAAACUCCUACGGGAGGCAGCAGUAGGGAAUCUUCCACAAUGGACGCAAGUCUGAUGGAGCAACGCCGCGUGGGUGAAGAAGGUUUUCGGAUCGUAAAGCUCUGUUGUUGGUGAAGAAAGAUAGUGAGAGUACUGCUCCAUUUAUUUGGCCGGUAAAUCAACCAGAAAGUCACGGCUAACUACGUGGCCAGCAGCCGCGGUAAUACGUAGGUGGCAAGCGUUGUCCGGAUUUAUUGGGCGUAAAGCGAGCGCAGGCGGAAAGAUAAGUCAGAUGUGAAAGCCCUCGGCUUAACCGAGGGAUAGCAUCGGAAACUGUCUUUCUUGAGUGCAGAAGAGGAGAGUGGAACUCCAUGUGUAGCGGUGGAAUGCGUAGAUAUAUGGAAGAACACCAGUGGCGAAGGCGGCUCUCUGGUCUGUAACUGACGCUGAGGCUCGAAAGCAUGGGUAGCGAACAGGAUUAGAUACCCUGGUAGUCCAUGCUGUAAACGAUGAGUGCUAAGUGUUGGGAGGUUUCCGCCUCUCAGUGCUGCAGCUAACGCAUUAAGCACUCCGCCUGGGGAGUACGACCGCAAGGUCAAAACUCAAAGGAAUUGACGGGGGCCCGCACAAGCGGUGGGAGCAUGGUGGUUUAAUUCGAAGCAACGCGAAGAACCCUUACCAGGUUCUUGACAUUCUAGGUGCCAACCUAAGAGAGAUUUAGGCGGUUCCCUUCGGGGACACUAAGACAGGUGGUGCAUGGCUGUCGUCAGCUCGUGUCGUGAGAUGUUGGGUUAAGUCCCGCAACGAGCGCAACCCUUAUUAUUAGUUGCCAGCAUUAAGUUGGGCACUCUAAUGAGACUGCCGGUGACAAACCGGAGGAAGGUGGGGAUGACGUCAAGUCAUCAUGCCCCUUAUGACCUGGGCUACACACGUGCUACAAUGGGCAGUACAACGAGGAGCGAACUUGUGAAGGCAAGCGAAUCUCUGAAAGCUGUUCUCAGUUCGGACUGUAGGCUGCAACUCGCCUACACGAAGCUGGAAUCGCUAGUAAUCGCGGAUCAGCACGCCGCG
rnacentral:rRNA from 1 species